rnacentral:lncRNA from 1 species
CUUGCCUUUAUUUAAAAUAAAAGCAAAAAUUAGAAGGAAGCUGAAUGGGUGCAUCAGUGAAUGAUGAAGUGGGCCUGCGCUUCGAUCCCAAAAGUUCUCAUUCUCAUCAUCUGAAAUUCAGAAUAUGGCAUCUCAAGAAAGCGCUGCCCCGUGACGCAGAGCCGUGGUGUUUUUUCUUUUUAAUACGCUACUGACAAGGCUGGCCCGGCUCAUGCGUGCCCACUCCGUCAUUUGGAAAGGUGUAGAUUGUACCCGCACGAUGGAGGCUCACGAUCUGAUCAGUACAAAAUUUCCAGUCCCAGCUAAACUCGUCACUGCAGCUAGACAAACCUAAGUGUGAGGGAGAAGCACGUUUUCUUUUUUCUUUUUUCUUCUUUCUUCAUACUUUCAUAUUUAAAUAAUUACAUUGAAAUUAUUGAGGUGUUUCUCUUCAAAUGGCUAGAUUAAGCUUCUGAGCGAACAAUGGUGAAGACUGGGCAAGUAGGCACGCCAUGGGGUUGGGUGCGCGAUCUCCAACCCGCCACCGGAUGUUCACGAUGAGAUCACAAAAGAUGGCAUCUGCUUUGACUGGUCUAAGCCAACGUCUAUUCACAAACAGAUGGACAGAUAAUUGACCAGUGACGCAAGAGAUUCGAGAUGCACUUCCAACCCUCCGUUCCGGUAUAACGUUGAGGGCAGCAACGGAUACAGCGUCGUCUUAACACACCCUCUCCUCCUACCUAUAAUAAUAACUCACACAGGCCGAAGAAAGCCCCAUCUAUUCUUCCAUCUGCCAGUGAAACCAAAAGUCCUUUUUUCUACCCACUGAUUACGUCCAUAGGGCUGGAGCGUUGUCGAUGAAAGCUGCAACCAUGUGUCAGGCCUCAAUCCAGGUGCAGCAGGACAUAUUCUCGCAGCCAUCAUGUAGGAGUGGACAGGACUAGAUUUCAGCGCUGCAGUGCCCAACAAAUUCCCACCCCUCACUACCUUCCGCUUCUUCGUCCUUCUCCCUCCCUUCCCUUCCUUGCCCAUUCUCAGGUUAUCUCCGUUCUGACUCACGGAGCUCAGUACAGCUUUUUCCCGCAUCGCGAGCUAGUCCACCUAUCGCCGCGCCCCACCUUGCUGAGCUGCAGUCAGCGGCAACGGACGCGCUUCCCAUUCGUGGCUGGUGCUGCCAUCGCCUGGUUCGAGGCCGGCAGCGACGCCGCCUUACUCUGCUUGCUGCAGUAGCACCACCACCAUCACCAUCGCCACUAGCUUCCAUUCUAUCUCGCCACCGUUGCUUCAUUCCUUGCUUCCUCUGCUUGCUAGCUUCUAUGUUUGUUUAUAUGUUUACUUAUCUAUCCAUCUGUCUGUCUACCUAUCUAUCUAUCUAUCUAUCUAUCUAGUGUACUCUUUUGUGUUUUGUGUUUUUAUUUUAUUUUAUUACAGAUUGGUGAAGUGGGUGUGGUGGCGCAGUGAGAAGGUGCGAGGUAGCCAUCGAUUUCCAAGGCCACCCACCGUCCAGCUCCGUGCACCCUGGUGGUGGUAGUGGCGUCACAUCCUCUAGUAAAACUUUGUCUCUCUCUAUAUAUCUUUAUAUCUAUCUAUUUAUUUACCUAAUUU